AUUGAACGCUGGCGGCAGGCCUAACACAUGCAAGUCGAGCGAGCGGCGGACGGGUGAGUAAUGUAUGGGGACUGCACGAUAGAGGGGGAGAACUAUGGGAAACGGUAGCUAACAACGCAUACUAUCGGAUAACCCAGAUGGGAUUAGUUAGUAGGUGAGGUAAUGGCUCACCUAGGCGACGAUCCCUAGCUGGUCUGUGAGGAUGUUCAGCCACACUGGAACUGAGACACGGCCCAGACUCCUCCGGAGGCAGCAGGGGGGAAUAUUGCACAAUGGGGGCAAGCCUGAUGCAGCCAUGCCGCGUGUAUGAAGAAGCCCCUAGGGUUGUAAAGUACUUUCAGUCGGGAGGCGUUACCGUCAGAAGAAGCACCGGCUAACUCCGUGCCAGCAGCCGCGGUAAUAC
rnacentral:rRNA from 1 species